GUCUACAGCUAUACCACCCUGAAUGUGCCUGAUCUCAGAAGCUAAGCAGGGUCAGACCUGGUUAGUACUUGGAUGAGAGACUGCCUGGAAAUACUGGGUGCUGUAGGCU
rnacentral:rRNA from 1 species